GACAGGUCUAUUGUUACGCACUGAGGCGAAAUCUAGCGAUCAAUGGCGCGAAAUUUUGAAAAGCUGCGUGGCAGUAGCGAGUGAAUGUAUUUCGCCAACAGGACACGUACGACAACUAAUAACGACAGUACUACACUAACGAGAGGAGGAUUUAAACAGCGGGCAUGUAUUCUCAAACAAAAAUGGACAUCCUUCUGUUAAUUAUUACUGCGUACGAACGAGAGUAAAGGAUGAGAACUUCAGGAAGCGAUUUCAAACAUUAGUUUGGUGAUAAUCAGCAAAGAAUUAAUCCGGAGUGUUCUAAGACUUUCAAUGAGAUCGAUUGCCAUCUGUU